UACAGAGGUGGCUAGCGUUGUUCGGAAUUACUGGGCGUAAAGGGAGCGCAGGCGGCUAAACAAGUCUGGAGUGCAAGCCCGGGGCUCAACCCCGGAAUUGCUUUGGAUACUGUUUGGCUUGAGUACGUCAGAGGUGAGCGGAAUUCCAGGUGUAGCGGUGAAAUGCGUAGAUAUCUGGAGGAACAUCCGUGGCGAAAGCGGCUCACUGGGACGACACUGACGCUGAGGCUCGAAAGCGUGGGGAGCGAACGGGAUUAGAUACCCCGGUAGU
rnacentral:rRNA from 1 species